rnacentral:rRNA from 1 species
UAGGGAAUCUUCCACAAUGGACGCAAGUCUGAUGGAGCAACGCCGCGUGAGUGAAGAAGGUUUUCGGAUCGUAAAGCUCUGUUGUUGGUGAAGAAGGAUAGAGGUAGUAACUGGCCUUUAUUUGACGGUAAUCAACCAGAAAGUCACGGCUAACUACGUGCCAGCAGCCGCGGUAAUACGUAGGUGGCAAGCGUUGUCCGGAUUUAUUGGGCGUAAAGCGAGCGCAGGCGGAAGAAUAAGUCUGAUGUGAAAGCCCUCGGCUUAACCGAGGAACUGUAUCGGAAACUGUUUUUCUUGAGUGCAGAAGAGGAGAGUGGAAUUCCAUGUGUAGCGGUGGAAUGCGUAGAUAUAUGGAAGAACACCAGUGGCGAAGGCGACUCUCUGGUCUGCAACUGACGCUGAGGCUCGAAAGCAUGGGUAGCGAACAGG